rnacentral:rRNA from 1 species
AUUGAACGCUGGCGGCAGGCCUAACACAUGCAAGUCGGGCGAGCGGCGGACGGGUGAGUAAUGUAUGGGGACUGCCUGAUGGCGGGGGAUAACUACUGGAAACGGUAGCUAAUACCGCAUACUAUCGGCUAACCCAUAUGGGAUUAGCUAGUAGGUGGGGUAAAGGCUCACCUAGGCGACGAUCUCUAGCUGGUCUGAGAGGAUGAUCAGCCACACGGGGACUGAGAAACGGCCCAGACUCCUACGGAGGCAGCAGUGGGGAAUAUUGCACAAUGGGAGCAAGCCUGAUGCAGCCAUGCCGCGUGGGGGAUGAAGGCUUUCGGGUUGUAAACCUCUUUCGCUAUCGAACGGGUAGGUGGAGAAGAAGCGCCGGCUAACUACGUGCCAGCAGCCGCGGUAAUAC